rnacentral:sRNA from 1 species
UGGUGCAGGUUAUAGCCACCCCUCUCACCUCCUUGGUCUGCUGGUAUUGCGCUGGCUGAUGUGAAUGGCUAGGUAGCUGGUACCCUCACCUGCCCUCUCACAUGGGUUCCUGAAAGCUAUGUGCUCUGCUGAAGAGGUUGAGCAGUUGAGCUGAAUCUUUGAUCAAGGCUUACUGAUAUGCUGAGUUCCUCUGCUGGAAAGCACAUUAGAGGCUAUUCCAGCUCUGUAGAGGAAAAUAAAUCUUCUCACCUGCUGAUUACAUGGUCUUAUAACCAUGCUACAGA